rnacentral:rRNA from 1 species
GCAUUAUCGAAGCUUGCUUUGAUAGAUGGCGACCGGCGCACGGGUGAGUAACGCGUAUCCAACCUUCCCCAUAGUCAGGAAUAGCCCGGCGAAAGUCGAAUUAAUGCCUGAUGUUUUCCACGGACGGCAUCUGAUGUGGAACAAAGAUUCAUCGCUAUGGGAUGGGGAUGCGUCUGAUUAGCUUGUUGGCGGGGUUAACGGCCCACCAAGGCAACGAUCAGUAGGGGUUCUGAGAGGAAGGUCCCCCACAUUGGAACUGAGACACGGUCCAAACUCCUACGGGAGGCAGCAGUGAGGAAUAUUGGUCAAUGGGCGGAAGCCUGAACCAGCCAAGUAGCGUGAGGGAUGACUGCCCUAUGGGUUGUAAACUGCUUUUAGUUGGGAAUAAAGUUCGGGACGUGUCCCGAUUUGUAUGUACCAUCAGAAAAAGGACCGGCUAAUUCCGUG